CCGCCGCUAACGAUUGGAAGCUUGCUGUACUAUAUUACUUUACUUAAUUUUUGAAAAUGGGUGGCUGCUGCAGUACAAGAAAAUCCGUUGAUUUACCAACUGUUCCACCCGCAACUGGAAGUUCCUAUCGUCAAGAUUAUCCAAAUCCUGGUAAGAAUGCGACUGGAAAUCCGACCCAAAAUGUUGGCAGCACAAACAUGGCACUGGAAAUGGACUAACACAUUAACAUAUUAUAUAUAUAUAGUAAUAUAGAAAUGUUUCCGAGAUGUUAAGUUUACAAUGUAUUAAUAAUUGUUUAAGAUUUUGGUAUAUAAUUAAGUAUUAAAAAAUCCUUUAAAAAGACGUAUUGUGGGUGCUAAGAGUUGUCAGUAUUUAAAGCUAAAAUUGGUAUUCGCUAAUACAUUUAUGAACAUAUAAUAAGAUAUACUCUUAUCAAUAAAAAUGCCCAUGAGUGAAACGAACUGGGCCAGUUA